AUUAAGCCAUGCAUGUCUAAGCACGAACUUUUACACAGUGAAGCUGCGAAUGGCUCAUUAGGUCACCCAUUAUUUCUUGGAUCGUACAAUCCUACUUGGAUAACUGUGGUAAUUCUAGAGCUAAUACAUGCGAGCAAGCUCCGACCCGGCUCGUCCGCGGAAAGAGCGCGUUUAUUAGAUCAAAACCAAUCGGUCGGUCGUCGAAAGGCGGCAGGCCGUAACCUUUGGUGACUCUGGAUAACUUUGAGCGGAUCGCACGGGCCUCGACCCGGCGACGUAUCUUUCAAGUGUGUGCCCUAUCAACUUUCGAUGGUACGCGAUAUGCCUACCAUGGUCGUAACGGGUAACGGGGAAUCAGGGUUCGAUUCCGGAGAGGGAGCAUGAGAAACGGCUACCACAUCCAAGGAAGGCAGCAGGCGCGCAAAUUACCCACUCGCGACACGCGGAGGUAGUGACGAAAAAUAACGAUACGGGACUCAUUCGAGGCCCCGUAAUCGGAAUGAGUACACUUUAAAUCCGUUAACGAGUAACAAUUGGAGGGCAAGUCUGGUGCCAGCAGCCGCGGUAAUUCCAGCUCCAAUAGCGUAUAUUAAAGUUGUUGCAGUUAAAAAGCUCGUAGUUGGACUUUUGGGUGUUGGAGAGCUGGUCUCGUCAAACAGACUGGUUAGCCAUGCCCUUUUCCAGCGGGUUCGCCCGCUAGGUUACUGUGAAGAAAUUAGAGUGUUCAAAGCAGGCGAAAGCUUGAAUACAUCAGCAUGGAAUAACAAGUUACGGCUUGUUGGUUGGCAAGUAUCCUUUUUUAAUAGGAACAGUUGGGGGCAUUGGUAUUUAGCAGUCAGAGGUGAAAUUCUUGGAUUUGCUAAAGACCAACUAGUGCGAUAGCAUCUGCCAAGGAUGUUUUCAUUAAUCAAGAACGAAAGUUAGGGGAUCGAAGACGAUCAGAUACCGUCGUAGUCUUAACUAUAAACGAUGCCGACUCGGGAUCGGCAGUUGUCGGAAUGCGACACUGUCGGGACCGUGUGUGAAAACAAAGUUUUUGGGUUCUGGGGGGAGUAUGGUCGCAAGGCUGAAACUUAAAGGAAUUGACGGAAGGGCACCACCAGGAGUGGAGCCUGCGGCUUAAUUUGACUCAACACGGGAAAACUCACCAGGUCCGGACAUGGGAAGGAUUGACAGAUUGAGAGCUCUUUCAUGAUUCUGUGGGUGGUGGUGCAUGGCCGUUCUUAGUUGGUGGAGUGAUUUGUCUGGUUAAUUCCGAUAACGAACGAGACCUUUUCCACUAACUAGUAUGCCGGUUCGAGAGAACUGGCAACUUCUUAGCGGGACUGACUGCGGUUAGCAGUCGGAAGUUGGAGGCAAUAACAGGUCUGUGAUGCCCUUAGAUGUUCUGGGCUGCACGCGCGCUACACUGACAAAGGCAGCGAGUAUACCUGUGCCGAGAGGCAUGGGAAAUCUUGUGAAACUUUGUCGUGCUGGGGAUAGAUCAUUGCAAUUAUUGGUCUUGAACGAGGAAUUCCUAGUAAGCGCAAGUCAUCAGCUUGCGUUGAUUACGUCCCUGCCCUUUGUACACACCGCCCGUCGCUACUACCGAUUGAAUGGUUUAGUGAGGCCUUUGGAUCGGGACUAGGCGCAAGUCUAGUCUGUGAGAAAUUGGACAAACUUGGUCAUUUAGAGGAAGUAAAAA
rnacentral:rRNA from 1 species